UGCUGUCCCUCCCGCCAAACUGCCAUCAGAGCGGAAUAUGGAUUGAAGACUAUCUCAAGGGGGUUUGGCUGUUCUGGUCAUAGUGGCAAACAGCGAUUCGAUUCGUGAAAGGGCAACCGAGAAGCCUCAAAAGAGGCUGGGCCAAUCCCAGUCAGAUGGUGGAGACUCUUGAACGUGAUGUGGGAAUGCACUAUUUUGCCACGGGCAAUAAGAGUGAGAGUAUGAAAAUAUGAUAUACAACAGCCGUUAUGAUCAGGAAAUUCAUCUGUGCAUGUUUCUGAAAGGAGUGAUAGGAAGAGGAGGCUGGCAUGCCUGGUGGCAGAUCUGAUAUAGUAAAAACUACCUCCUUGAUUAGAAAUUAGUUAUCGUACAACCAGUAGGAAUGAGCCCACAGGCGAUGGCUAUUGAGCAUUUCCGAGCGAGAAUU
rnacentral:sRNA from 2 species